UUAAAUUGAAGAGUUUGAUCAUGGCUCAGAUUGAACGCUGGCGGCAGGCCUAACACAUGCAAGUCGAACGGUAACAGAAAGCAGCUUGCUGCUUUGCUGACGAGUGGCGGACGGGUGAGUAAUGUCUGGGAAACUGCCUGAUGGAGGGGGAUAACUACUGGAAACGGUAGCUAAUACCGCAUAAUGUCGCAAGACCAAAGAGGGGGACCUUCGGGCCUCUUGCCAUCGGAUGUGCCCAGAUGGGAUUAGCUUGUUGGUGGGGUAACGGCUCACCAAGGCGACGAUCCCUAGCUGGUCUGAGAGGAUGACCAGCCACACUGGAACUGAGACACGGUCCAGACUCCUACGGGAGGCAGCAGUGGGGAAUAUUGCACAAUGGGCGCAAGCCUGAUGCAGCCAUGCCGCGUGUAUGAAGAAGGCCUUCGGGUUGUAAAGUACUUUCAGCGGGGAGGAAGGGAGUAAAGUUAAUACCUUUGCUCAUUGACGUUACCCGCAGAAGAAGCACCGGCUAACUCCGUGCCAGCAGCCGCGGUAAUACGGAGGGUGCAAGCGUUAAUCGGAAUUACUGGGCGUAAAGCGCACGCAGGCGGUUUGUUAAGUCAGAUGUGAAAUCCCCGGGCUCAACCUGGGAACUGCAUCUGAUACUGGCAAGCUUGAGUCUCGUAGAGGGGGGUAGAAUUCCAGGUGUAGCGGUGAAAUGCGUAGAGAUCUGGAGGAAUACCGGUGGCGAAGGCGGCCCCCUGGACGAAGACUGACGCUCAGGUGCGAAAGCGUGGGGAGCAAACAGGAUUAGAUACCCUGGUAGUCCACGCCGUAAACGAUGUCGACUUGGAGGUUGUGCCCUUGAGGCGUGGCUUCCGGAGCUAACGCGUUAAGUCGACCGCCUGGGGAGUACGGCCGCAAGGUUAAAACUCAAAUGAAUUGACGGGGGCCCGCACAAGCGGUGGAGCAUGUGGUUUAAUUCGAUGCAACGCGAAGAACCUUACCUGGUCUUGACAUCCACGGAAGUUUUCAGAGAUGAGAAUGUGCCUUCGGGAACCGUGAGACAGGUGCUGCAUGGCUGUCGUCAGCUCGUGUUGUGAAAUGUUGGGUUAAGUCCCGCAACGAGCGCAACCCUUAUCCUUUGUUGCCAGCGGUCCGGCCGGGAACUCAAAGGAGACUGCCAGUGAUAAACUGGAGGAAGGUGGGGAUGACGUCAAGUCAUCAUGGCCCUUACGACCAGGGCUACACACGUGCUACAAUGGCGCAUACAAAGAGAAGCGACCUCGCGAGAGCAAGCGGACCUCAUAAAGUGCGUCGUAGUCCGGAUUGGAGUCUGCAACUCGACUCCAUGAAGUCGGAAUCGCUAGUAAUCGUGGAUCAGAAUGCCACGGUGAAUACGUUCCCGGGCCUUGUACACACCGCCCGUCACACCAUGGGAGUGGGUUGCAAAAGAAGUAGGUAGCUUAACCUUCGGGAGGGCGCUUACCACUUUGUGAUUCAUGACUGGGGUGAAGUCGUAACAAGGUAACCGUAGGGGAACCUGCGGUUGGAUCACCUCCUUACCUUAAAGAAGC
rnacentral:rRNA from 1 species